UUUCCGUAGGUGAACCUGCGGAAGGAUCAUUCAUAAUAAAGCGUUUUAUGGCACUUUUUAAAAAUCCAUAUCCACCUUGUGUGCGAUGUUAGAUCUCGUCAAUCUUGGCGAGAUUUUUAUACAUCAACUCAUUCUUUAACUAAUUUGUCUGAAAAAUAUUAUGAAUACUUAAUUCAAAAUACAACUUUCAACAACGGAUCUCUUGGCUCUC
rnacentral:misc_RNA from 1 species